rnacentral:rRNA from 1 species
AGAUUGAACGCUGGCGGCGUGCCUAACACAUGCAAGUCGAGCGGUAACAGGUGUAGCAAUACAUGCUGACGAGCGGCGAACGGGUGAGUAAUGCUUUGGAAUCUUCCCAGUAGUGGGGAAUAACCAGUCGAAAGAUUGGCUAAUACCGCAUACGUCUGUAAAGGGAAAGCGGGGGCUCGUAAGACCUCGCGCUAUUGGAUGAGCCAAAGUCGGAUUAGCUAGUUGGUGGGGUAAUGGCCUACCAAGGCGACAAUCCGUAGCUGGUCUGAGAGGACGACCAGCCACACCGGAACUGAGACACGGUCCGGACUCCUACGGGAGGCAGCAGUGGGGAAUAUUGGACAAUGGGGGAAACCCUGAUCCAGCGACGCCGCGUGUGUGAAGAAGGCCUGCGGGUUGUAAGCACUUUUAGUGGGGACAAAAGCUACGGAUUAAUACUCUGUGGUCUUGAUUUAACCCAAAGAAAAGCACCGGCUAACUCUGUGCCAGCAGCCGC